rnacentral:rRNA from 1 species
GGGACACGUGGUAUCCUGUCUGAAUAUGGGGGGACCAUCCUCCAAGGCUAAAUACUCCUGACUGACCGAUAGUGAACCAGUACCGUGAGGGAAAGGCGAAAAGAACCCCGGCGAGGGGAGUGAAAAAGAACCUGAAACCGUGUACGUACAAGCAGUGGGAGCCCUGAUUUAUCAGGGUGACUGCGUACCUUUUGUAUAAUGGGUCAGCGACUUAUAUUCUGUAGCAAGGUUAACCGAAUAGGGGAGCCGGAGGGAAACCGAGUCUUAACUGGGCGUUAAGUUGCAGGGUAUAGACCCGAAACCCGGUGAUCUAGCCAUGGGCAGGUUGAAGGUUGGGUAACACUAACUGGAGGACCGAACCGACUAAUGUUGAAAAAUUAGCGGAUGACUUGUGGCUGGGGGUGAAAGGCCAAUCAAACCGGGAGAUAGCUGGUUCUCCCCGAAAGCUAUUUAGGUAGCGCCUCGUGAAUUCAUCUCCGGGGGUAGAGCACUGUUUCGGCAAGGGGGUCAUCCCGACUUACCAACCCGAUGCAAACUGCGAAUACCGGAGAAUGUUAUCACGGGAGACACACGGCGGGUGCUAACGUCCGUCGUGAAGAGGGAAACAACCCAGACCGCCAGCUAAGGUCCCAAAGUCAUGGUUAAGUGGGAAACGAUGUGGGAAGGCCCAGACAGCCAGGAUGUUGGCUUAGAAGCAGCCAUCAUUUAAAGAAAGCGUAAUAGCUCACUGGUCGAGUCGGCCUGCGCGGAAGAUGUAACGGGGCUAAACCAUGCACCGAAGCUGCGGCAGCGACGCUGAUGCGUUGUUGGGUAGGGGAGCGUUCUGUAAGC